rnacentral:lncRNA from 1 species
CAGUCAAAACAUGCUUCCUAAUGAUGAUGCAAACCUCUGGUUCUUCGGUUCCGAACCGGCGUAGAGUCAGAGGAUGCUGCAGCAGCAAAGCACCUAAACCUGCGAGGAUCAUGAUCAGAUGUUCAUCUUAUCCUUCAUCCAGCUUCGAGAACCCGGUUGAGGGGAUAGUUUGUUACACAGAUGCAAGAACAGGGGAGGUUGUUUGCGAAGGUUACGACGAAGGGCCUCGUUUCGAGCACCACCACCACCGGCGGCAGCAGCAGCAGAUUCCUCUGGCUGCUGCUGCAUACAGACAUCAUUCAACAAGGUCUGAUGAUCAUCUGUUUAUACUAUAUGCUGUAUGAUUAAUUACCGUUGUAUUGGCUUUUAUAUUAUUCACCAACACCUCCCUCAAACAUUAGCUCGCUUGAGGAAUCACUAAGUCAUGUGCACGAGUUGCUGAUUACCAGAAUACGAAACGAAGAUUUCUCGGUCUUCGAAGGCUUUGAAACCCGUGUCAUAAACCGUUGCAUCUCAAUAACUCGAGUUGUUUAGAGGGGAUUCAAAUUGGGUUUUAGAGAAUAAGUGGAGAUAGAUAGACUUAAUUUUUGUUAUAGAAAAUGUAUUAGCAAAAUGAAAGUGCGAGAUAAUUGAAAUCUGUCAAUUCAAAAAUGAAAAAUAUCAAAAGACUCAUAAAUGACAAUAUGUGAGCUCAAAAUAAGCCUUUAUAAACUCAAAAUAAAGCCUUAAUAAACUCAAAAUAAAGUCUUAAUAAAUUCAAAAUAAAACCUUAAUAAAAUAAAGCUCUGAUAAGAAAAUCAAACAGUAUUUAUUCAAUAAUAAUUCAUAUUCUCCUUUUAUAUAUAAAACAUUCCAAUUUUGAUUUAUACAGCUAAUGUCAUUAGCACACGCAUUCUCAAACGAAAGCUCGAGAUUGAAGUUUGCACGGUCACACCAAACCUUGAGCGAGUGAAUCGGUCAUAUUAAGGGACUAACAUGAUCUAAUGUCAUGGUCAAAGGAUUCAAAUGGCACGUGAAGAACCCAUUUCUCAAUAACUCAAGUUGUUGGGAAAAAAAUUUAUAAUCGGUCUAUAUUCAUCGAUUGCUUUUACUAAUUGCAUAUAAAACAGGGAUGGGGAGAUAAUGAUGAACCUGCUUCAGCAGAGGCUGCUGCAGAUUGUUAAUGGCAAUGAUCAGUUUGAAGGUACUACAGCAGCAGCAGCAGCAGUAAUGCCCUUGCAAGAAGACCUUUCAAACUUUAAAUCAUAAUUAGAUUUUUAACUCUUUAAGUCUUAACCACUCUUACUGUCACCAUUUUCAUUGUACUUGCUUUGUUCAUACAACUUGUAUAUGAUGUUGAAGAUAAGGGAGUUUUAAUUUGUUUAAACUCUCAUCAUUUCCCUCCCCCUUUGGAAUCAGUGUUCAUAAACUACAGACACAUAAUAAUGAAAUAAUGUACCAUUUCAGUUUGAUCAUUGGAAUUGCAUCCUUGCGG